CGAACGCUGGCGGCGUGCUUAACACAUGCAAGUCGAACGGAAAGGCCCUGCUUUUGUGGGGUGCUCGAGUGGCGAACGGGUGAGUAACACGUGAGUAACCUGCCCUUGACUUUGGGAUAACUUCAGGAAACUGGGGCUAAUACCGGAUAGGAGCUCCUGCUGCAUGGUGGGGGUUGGAAAGUUUCGGCGGUUGGGGAUGGACUCGCGGCUUAUCAGCUUGUUGGUGGGGUAGUGGCUUACCAAGGCUUUGACGGGUAGCCGGCCUGAGAGGGUGACCGGCCACAUUGGGACUGAGAUACGGCCCAGACUCCUACGGGAGGCAGCAGUGGGGAAUAUUGCACAAUGGGCGGAAGCCUGAUGCAGCAACGCCGCGUGCGGGAUGACGGCCUUCGGGUUGUAAACCGCUUUCGCCUGUGACGAAGCGUGAGUGACGGUAAUGGGUAAAGAAGCACCGGCUAACUACGUGCCAGCAGCCGCGGUGAUACGUAGGGUGCGAGCGUUGUCCGGAUUUAUUGGGCGUAAAGGGCUCGUAGGUGGUUGAUCGCGUCGGAAGUGUAAUCUUGGGGCUUAACCCUGAGCGUGCUUUCGAUACGGGUUGACUUGAGGAAGGUAGGGGAGAAUGGAAUUCCUGGUGGAGCGGUGGAAUGCGCAGAUAUCAGGAGGAACACCAGUGGCGAAGGCGGUUCUCUGGGCCUUUCCUGACGCUGAGGAGCGAAAGCGUGGGGAGCGAACAGGCUUAGAUACCCUGGUAGUCCACGCUGUAAACGGUGGGUACUAGGUGUGGGGUCCAUUCCACGGGUUCCGUGCCGUAGCUAACGCUUUAAGUACCCCGCCUGGGGAGUACGGCCGCAAGGCUAAAACUCAAAGGAAUUGACGGGGCCCCGCACAAGCGGCGGAGCAUGCGGAUUAAUUCGAUGCAACGCGUAGAACCUUACCUGGGUUUGACAUGGAUCGGGAGUGCUCAGAGAUGGGUGUGCCUCUUUUGGGGUCGGUUCACAGGUGGUGCAUGGCUGUCGUCAGCUCGUGUCGUGAGAUGUUGGGUUAAGUCCCGCAACGAGCGCAACCCUUGUUCACUGUUGCCAGCACGUUAUGGUGGGGACUCAGUGGAGACCGCCGGGGUCAACUCGGAGGAAGGUGGGGAUGACGUCAAGUCAUCAUGCCCCUUAUGUCCAGGGCUUCACGCAUGCUACAAUGGCUGGUACAGAGAGUGGCGAGCCUGUGAGGGUGAGCGAAUCUCGGAAAGCCGGUCUCAGUUCGGAUUGGGGUCUGCAACUCGACCUCAUGAAGUCGGAGUCGCUAGUAAUCGCAGAUCAGCAACGCUGCGGUGAAUACGUUCCCGGGGCUUGUACACACCGCCCGUCAAGUCAUGAAAGUUGGUAACACCCGAAGCCGGUGGCCUAACCGUUGUGGGGGAGCCGUCGAAGGUGGGACUGGUGAUUAGG
rnacentral:rRNA from 1 species